AUUGAACGCUGGCGGCAGGCCUAACACAUGCAAGUCGAGCGGUAGCACAGAGAGCUUGCUCUCGGGUGACGAGCGGCGGACGGGUGAGUAAUGUCUGGGAAACUGCCUGAUGGAGGGGGAUAACUACUGGAAACGGUAGCUAAUACCGCAUAAUGUCGCAAGACCAAAGUGGGGGACCUUCGGGCCUCAUGCCAUCAGAUGUGCCCAGAUGGGAUUAGCUAGUAGGUGGGGUAAUGGCUCACCUAGGCGACGAUCCCUAGCUGGGCUGAGAGGAUGACCAGCCACGCUGGAACUGAGACACGGUCCAGACUCCUACGGGAGGCAGCAGUGGGGAAUAUUGCACAAUGGGCGCAAGCCUGAUGCAGCCAUGCCGCGUGUGUGAAGAAGGCCUUCGGGUUGUAAAGCACUUUCAGCGGGGAGGAAGGCGGUGAGGUUAAUAACCUCAUCGAUUGACGUUACCCGCAGAAGAAGCACCGGCUAACUCCGUGCCAGCCGCCGCGGUAA
rnacentral:rRNA from 1 species